rnacentral:rRNA from 1 species
GACGAACGCUGGCGGCGUGCUUAACACAUGCAAGUCGAACGGUGAUCUUGGGAGCUUGCUCUUGGGUGAUCAGUGGCGAACGGGUGAGUAACACGUGAGUAACCUGCCCCUGACUCUGGAAUAACUUCGGGAAACCGAAGCUAAUACCGGAUACGACACAGAGCUGCAUGGCUACCGUGUGGAAAGUUUUUCGGUUGGGGAUGGACUCGCGGCCUAUCAGCUUGUUGGUGAGGUAAUGGCUCACCAAGGCGACGACGGGUAGCCGGCCUGAGAGGGCGAUCGGCCACACUGGGACUGAGACACGGCCCAGACUCCUACGGGAGGCAGCAGUGGGGAAUAUUGCACAAUGGGCGAAAGCCUGAUGCAGCGACGCCGCGUGAGGGAUGAAGGCCUUCGGGUUGUAAACCUCUUUCAGUAGGGAAGAAGCGCAAGUGACGGUACCUACAGAAGAAGCACCGGCUAACUACGUGCCAGCCGCCGCAGUAAGAC